rnacentral:rRNA from 2 species
GUGGAUUAGUGGCGAACGGGUGAGUAACACGUGGGCAAUCUGCCCUUCACUCUGGGACAAGCCCUGGAAACGGGGUCUAAUACCGGAUAACACUCUGUCCCGCAUGGGACGGGGUUAAAAGCUCCGGCGGUGAAGGAUGAGCCCGCGGCCUAUCAGCUUGUUGGUGGGGUGAUGGCCUACCAAGGCGACGACGGGUAGCCGGCCUGAGAGGGCGACCGGCCACACUGGGACUGAGACACGGCCCAGACUCCUACGGGAGGCAGCAGUGGGGAAUAUUGCACAAUGGGCGAAAGCCUGAUGCAGCGACGCCGCGUGAGGGAUGACGGCCUUCGGGUUGUAAACCUCUUUCAGCAGGGAAGAAGCGAGAGUGACGGUACCUGCAGAAGAAGCGCCGGCUAACUACGUGCCAGCAGCCGCGGUAAUACGUAGGGCGCAAGCGUUGUCCGGAAUUAUUGGGCGUAAAGAGCUCGUAGGCGGCUUGUUGCGUCGGUUGUGAAAGCCCGGGGCUUAACCCCGGGUCUGCAGUCGAUACGGGCAGGCUAGAGUGUGGUAGGGGAGAUCGGAAUUCCUGGUGUAGCGGUGAAAUGCGCAGAUAUCAGGAGGAACACCGGUGGCGAAGGCGGAUCUCUGGGCCAUUACUGACGCUGAGGAGCGAAAGCGUGGGGAGCGAACAGGAUUAGAUACCCUGGUAGUCCACGCCGUAAACGUUGGGAACUAGGUGUUGGCGACAUUCCACGUCGUCGGUGCC